rnacentral:rRNA from 1 species
CAGUCGCCGCGGGAAUACGAAGGGGGCUAGCGUUGUUCGGAAUUACUGGGCGUAAAGCGCACGCAGGCGGAUAUUUAAGUCAGGGGUGAAAUCCCGCAGCUCAACUGCGGAACUGCCUUUGAUACUGGGUAUCUUGAGUAUGGAAGAGGUUAGUGGAAUUGCGAGUGUAGAGGUGAAAUUCGUAGAUAUUCGCAGGAACACCAGUGGCGAAGGCGGCUAACUGGUCCAUAACUGACGCUGAGGUGCGAAAGCGUGGGGAGCAAACAGGAUUAGAUACCCCCGUAGUCCCUGUCUCUUAUAC